UACGUAGGUGGCAAGCGUUGUCCGGAAUCACUGGGCGUAAAGGGCGCGUAGGCGGCUCGGUCAGCGUGCGGUGAAAGCCCGGGGCUCAACCCCGGGUCGGCCGUGCGAACUGCCGAGCUGGAGCACUGUAGAGGCAGGUGGAAUUCCGGGUGUAGCGGUGGAAUGCGUAGAGAUCCGGAAGAACACCGGUGGCGAAGGCGGCCCGCUGGGCAGGAAGGAAGCGUAAGCUUCCGGCUGACGCUGAGGCGCGACAGCGUGGGGAGCAAACAGG
rnacentral:rRNA from 1 species